rnacentral:rRNA from 1 species
AAGCCUGAUGCAGCAACCCCCGCGUGAGGGAACGACGGCCUUUCGGGUUGUAAACCUUUUUUUAGCAGGGAAGAAGCGAAAGUGACGGUACCUGCAGAAAAAGCGCCGGCUAACUACGUGCCAGCAGCCGCGGUAAUACGUAGGGCGCAAGCGUUAUCCGGAAUUAUUGGGCGUAAAGAGCUCGUAGGCGGUUUGUCGCGUCUGCUGUGAAAUCCCGAGGCUCAACCUCGGGUCUGCAGUGGGUACGGGCAGACUAGAGUGCGGUAGGGGAGAUUGGAAUUCCUGGUGUAGCGGUGGAAUGCGCAGAUAUCAGGAGGAACACCGAUGGCGAAGGCAGAUCUCUGGGCCGUAACUGACGCUGAGGAGCGAAAGGGUGGGGAGCAAACAGGCUUAGAUACCCUGGUAGUCCACCCCGUAAACGUUGGGAACUAGUUGUGGGGUCCAUUCCACGGAUUCCGUGACGCAGCUAACGCAUUAAGUUCCCCGCCUGGGGAGUACGGCCGCAAGGCUAAAACUCAAAGGAAUUGACGGGGACCCGCACAAGCGGCGGAGCAUGCGGAUUAAUUCGAUGCAACGCGAAGAACCUUACCAAGGCUUGACAUAUACGAGAACGGGCCAGAAAUGGUCAACUCUUUGGACACUCGUAAACAGGUGGUGCAUGGUUGUCGUCAGCUCGUGUCGUGAGAUGUUGGGUUAAGUCCCGCAACGAGCGCAACCCUCGUUCUAUGUUGCCAGCACGUAAUGGUGGGAACUCAUGGGAUACUGCCGGGGUCAACUCGGAGGAAGGUGGGGAUGACGUCAAAUCAUCAUGCCCCUUAUGUCUUGGGCUUCACGCAUGCUACAAUGGCCGGUACAAAGGGCUGCAAUACCGUAAGGUGGAGCGAAUCCCAAAAAGCCGGUCCCAGUUCGGAUUGAGGUCUGCAACUCGACCUCAUGAAGUCGGAGUCGCUAGUAAUCGCAGAUCAGCAACGCUGCGGUGAAUACGUUCCCGGGUCUUGUACACACCGCCCUNUCAAGUCAUGAAAGUCGGUAACACCUGAAGCCGGUGGCCCCAACCC